CUGAACUCAAGAUUCCUAAGGAAUAUUCUAAUUUUACUUUCUAUUUGGAAAACUGGAACCAAGUCUGAACACAUUCAAACCAUAAACUCUGAAGGAAGAAAAUCAAAGCCUCUCCCAGAUGCACCUUCACAUUCCCAUCCCCAACCCUCCUAUAAUGCAGCAGACACACAUACUCGUCCACCAGAAAAUUCUUUUUGAGAGUGCUUUAUUCAACAAGAUCUAGGUCAGGUGCUUUAAAACAUAUCAAAAUGUUACAGAAAUUCACAGCUCCCUACUGAGGACUUGUCAAGUUACAUUAAGAUAUCUAAACACAUCAGUUUAUAAAUUCAGAACCAAACAUUGAACCAGGUCAUGUACCAUUGUUUGAAAAGCAAGUUAUGAUUAAGAUAAAAGAUACUUCACAAAGCUAAAUCAAAUGGGGAAACCCUUAAGAAACACUAGCAGUUAUACACCAGAAACCAGCAGCUUGGAAAACAGGUCUGCAAUCUGCUGGGGAGGCUCCACAGGUAAACUGAGCUUCUCCCUUUACAGCUUGUCCAUGUCUAGUGCUUGGCUACAACACCGGGGGAGCCGUAACCUCCCGUGACAGGGUAAAUGCUGUCAAUUCCCUCAGAAAGAAAGGGUGCCACAUUUGUCUAUUUUUACCUCUCUAGAUCAUUUCUCAUCUCAUCUGCCUCCAACAAGAAGACUUUGUGUAAAACAAUUUAAGUAGAGACUUGACUAGAGAAUCUGUACUGCUGCAUCGGUGCUCAAGGAGAUCUCUGCCUCCUACCUAGACCUUCACAUCUUGGUUUGGGUGCUAUGCUGGUGUGUUAAGUUGCUUCAGUCCUAUCCGACUCUGUGCGACCCUUAUGAACCAUAGCCUGCCAGGCUGCUCUGUCCAUGAUUCUCCAGGCAACAAUAUUGGAGUGGGUUGCCAUGCCUUUCUCCAGGGGAUCUUCCUGACCUAGGGAUUGAAUCCGUGUCUCUGAGAUCUCCUGCACCGGCAGGCAGGUUCAUUACUAGUAGGGCCACCUGUGGAAUUCCUUUGUUCAUACAGAAAUUUCUCUUGGAGAUGUACCUAUGGCACCGUGUUCUCUGUCCUACAGAGCUUUGAAACAGUUUUGUUUUUUAAAGAGAGCAUCUCUUUUCUUUGAGAGCUUCUUCCCCUUCUGUAUCCAUCUCUCCUUCCAAUCUCCUAACCCUGAAAUAACUGCCCAAACUCCAAAGAAUUCUGGCCAAGACAUUUUUGCAUCAGAGAACAAGGUUUGUGUUUUGAGUGACUUUUUUAUUUUUUGGUCUUUAUGUCCUAAAGUCUUAUCUACAUAGAUGACAAAAUAUCAUUAUCUGGAGGUCUCUAGGACAGUGUCUUGUUUUGUUUCUGGUAGAAAGGAGAGAAAGGUGAAUUAUAUUAUUCCUUGAAGUCUCAGGCCAAAACCUCAACCUCAGGGCUCAGCAUUUGUCACAGGGAUGGUUAAUCUCAGAUUCUCCCACCUCAGCCUCAACUCAGAGUUAAAAUCCAAAAGCCCGGAGGUCAGUAUGCAUUCCUCACCAGUUUGCACAGUCAAGCCUAUUUUGUGCUUUUCAGUUCUUCCUGAAGGUAACCCCUCCCCCUCCCCCUCCAAUUUAACUCCUCACAUUCUCACUAAUGUGAUUACUAAGAAUGUUACCUUGUGCUUAAUUCCAACAUCACCUGGGGGACUGGAUCCCCUUAUUACCAAUCAGAUAAACUCAAGUUUUUCCUUCAUUUGAUCACCUUAUAACAUAAGCUCCAGGAAACAGAUUAAGUCGGAUGAGGCUAUGUCGCUUUUCACAAGUGAGGGAAAAAACCUAUAAAUUGGCCUUUUGUUCAUCACACGGUUUCAGGUUCAUUGCACACACUUACAUAAAUGCACACAAAUCUGCCCAGGAGUUCAAAGCUGCAAGGCCAUGUGAUACCAGUGAGAAAAUACAGCUCUGCAUCACAGCAGUGCCUCUGUUUCAAAGAAUCUUUCCAAAAUUCCUGACUGGGUUAUUAGUACAUGAGAAAUGAUUUCUAAACAGGGCGAGCCAAAAUGGAAAAGUGGGGUCUGCAUUAAGUGGAAUGUUAUCAUGUAAGAGAUUUCCCUUAAUUCCACCCAAUCCCCAAUCUUUAAAAAAAAUCAAGCCUACCCCAGAAUCACUUUCUCAGAAAGUGACCUGGCAAACUGACAUUUGGCAACAUUUCCAUGUUUAACACUAUCAUAAUGUUAGUGCAAAUUAAAGAGAACUUUGAUAAACCAAAACAGCUGUCCAAUAAAAGUUAGUCAUUAGUAAUUUACGUUGUGGAAAAAUUUUUCCCAAGCCAUUCAAAGAAGAUUAUUGGGGCCAACAAAGGCUUUGAACGUUCAAAAUAAAAAUAACCAGAAAAAAAGUUUUCCAAGUCAUUUCUCAAAUGCAAAAUUCAGGAAGUAUGUUUACAUUCACAAAACUGUUCUUUCCCAUCUAUAACAGAGGAAGCCUCUCCCUGGGCCCCUAUUAUUUUCUGUGCAUUUUGCAGAAGCCCACUGAGGAGGCUAAGGCCCUCCUGAAUUCCAGUCCACCCUGCACAAGGCUGGUGGAUAUCCCCACAGAGGCAGUAAGCUUGCUAAGAGACCCCUAGCAAAAUGACAGGUGGCAGCAUACCAUCUUCUUGAAAGUCAACAAUGAAACCACAGCUGUAAGCCAUCUAAAGAGGUCUUUCUUGGAAGCCACAGUGGCAGAUGGGGGCAAGGGUGCCCAGGGCAGGAAGAACUCUGCUGCAAAGGUCCACUUUCCUUGCAGGCACAGAUCAGUGGCUCUUCUUUCCUCAACUGCCCAGCUCUCCAAAUCUUCAGAGAGGAGGUAGAGGAGAGAUGGAGAGUUCUACCCCAACAAGGCUCAGACUCCUGCUGUUAGGAGCUUCUGGCCCUGCUUGGUUGACCUCCACAGCCAGCACCCUGUUCCAACCAUCCAUCUAACCCUCUUCAAACAGUAUCAGCUGUACUGGGGCUGAGCUACUUGUCAAUCUUCCCAAUGGGGGCUCCAAGGGACAGACUCUUCUUGCCCUUUCCCCUCCACUGGAGUCUCUAAAGAUCACCCAGGUAGCUGCUCAGAGAAGCUGAGAGAGAAGCUCCAUCCUAACUAUGCACCAUCACAGGGCAGUCCAAAAGGCAUCUCUGAACCCCAUACUUGGUAAAUAGCAGAAGUCUUCAUUCCUAAGAGUCCAUUUCCACAUACAAGGUGAGAGCAACUUGCAAGAAUAUAGUGGCUGGAAAGUUUAAAGGCUUGACUUCAAACAUAGGACUUCAGCUCCAAGUGCAGGAAGACUCCUCGAUUAUGUGCAAAUGGAC
ensembl:lncRNA